rnacentral:rRNA from 1 species
AUUGAACGCUGGCGGCAGGCCUAACACAUGCAAGUCGAACGGUAACAGGAAGCAGCUUGCUGCUUCGCUGACGAGUGGCGGACGGGUGAGUAAUGUCUGGGAAGCUGCCUGAUGAGGGGGAUAACUACUGGAAACGGUAGCUAAUACCGCAUAAUGUCGCAAGACCAAAGAGGGGGACCUUCGGGCCUCUUGCCAUCGGAUGUGCCCAGAUGGGAUUAGCUUGUUGGUGGGGUAACGGCUCACCAAGGCGACGAUCCCUAGCUGGUCUGAGAGGAUGACCAGCCACACUGGAACUGAGACACGGUCCAGACUCCUACGGGAGGCAGCAGUGGGGAAUAUUGCACAAUGGGCGCAAGCCUGAUGCAGCCAUGCCGCGUGUAUGAAGAAGGCCUUCGGGUUGUAAAGUACUUUCAGCGGGGAGGAAGGGAGUAAAGUUAAUACCUUUGCUCAUUGACGUUACCCGCAGAAGAAGCACCGGCUAACUCCGUG